rnacentral:sRNA from 3 species
UGAGAACCUCCGGGGGCAAGAGGUUCGACUCGAGCGAAGCGAGAGAACGUUGCGUCAGCAACGGCCCGCAGUGGCAAGUCAUCCUCUGUCACCGGCAG